rnacentral:lncRNA from 1 species
UUUUUUUUUUUUUUUUUUUUUAACCUAACCAGAGUGGAUGGGAAGACUCCAGCUGUGCUUGCGUUCCUAAUUCUCGGCAAGGGAUAGCCUGAAGACAGGGACUACCUUUUACUUUUUCACACAGUCAACAAAAACUUCUUGAUUGAAUUUGAUUCAUCUGUCAUUUGUGAAAUUAAAGACUUAGAAGAGAGAGGACCUGGCCAAAAAUUUCGGUUCCGCUCCAGUUGUUCAAAAGCCUCUUCCUUCCGGCUUCCAGUGUGCUGAGGCACAGAUACAUUGUAUUUAAAAGACAGCAAGAGAUAAAGAAGAGAAAGAUCCACUAGGAAGAUGUGAGCAGCAUAAUCAUGAACCACAGGCCUCAUGAGCAACGUGCAGAAGGAAGAGAGGGCAGCUCCAUUUACCCAGGGCACACCAGCUUCAACGGGAUACCAGCCUAGCAGAGAGUACUACUGGGUGAAAGGCUAUCAAAGAGUUCUCCCAACUAACAGCUACUUUCCCUAAAGUAAAAGUUGGUGCAACUGGUGAUGUGAUCCGACAUGAAGAAGAGUAGGUAUUGAAACCCUCCGCUAAAAUACAAUGUCUUCAACUAAGGAAAGAGCCUCCAGCUACAGGCACAGCAGAGCAUGUGUUCUCAGUCUUCAACAUUUUAACAACAGCAUCAGCCUUGGGCCAGAAGGGAACUGCAGCUCCCUAAUCACAGAACCAGAAAGCCGGGAUGACUCUUCCUGAGGGAAGGCAGAAGAAAGCAGCUAGCUUCUCUAAUGCUCAUCUGACGGAGUUUCUGUGACUGGAGCAAGCUCAGGGUUCGAGGAAGCUUGUCACCAAAAUUGGUGUCAUUAAAGAAGGUGGCAUGUCUAAGAGCAUGCCCGGCCCCUAGCUAGAGCUUUUAAUCCAAGCACCUCGGAAGCUUCUGGAGUACAGCCAUUUAAAGUGACUUGUCACACCGAAAGGACGGCUUUCUUAAAUAAUCUCUAUAGUUUAAUUUCUGUCAAUGAAGUAGGUUAGAGAUAACAAAAAUGUAGAUAGAAAGAUGAUCCCUGAGCAAUCUUAAUACUAUAAUUUACAACUAUGCCUUACAGUUUCAUCUGCUUCCAUUGUUCUUACUCCCCUAACUUUGUAAAACUUUCAUGCCCUCGGGGGCUGGUGAGAUGGCUCAGCGGUUAAGAGCACUGACUGCUCUUCCAAAGGUCCCGAGUUCGAAUCCCAGCAACCACAUGGUGGCUCACAACCAUCCAUAAUGAGAUCUGACGCCCUCUUCUAGUGUGUCUGAAGACAACUACAGUGU